UGCUUUUCAAUUUGAGGGUCUUAUAGCUCAAAAUAAUUAGUAAAUGCAUGAAAAAUAACAAAUGAAGUCAGAAAGGGUUGAAAAGUGAUGAUGUGGAUUUGAAUGGUGCAUUUUGAACACA